CCCCGCACCAGGCUGCGCACGCCCAAUGAAUUCGCUGUUAAUAGAGGCACAGUGUCACCUGCUGGCAACUCAAGGCUCCUGCAACUUGUGGAGAAAUGUUGCCCCCUGCUGGGCCUCCAGUGCGCCAUCUAGCCAGGAUGCCGUGUAGAGUGCGUAAGGACACCUCCCGUCACUCCAAGAGAAGGACAAGACGGCAUUUCAGCUGCCACAGGCAACUCCCUCUGCAGACGUCCCUCAAUGAGCUACCACGGCAUGGGGAUGAAGUUUCUGGCACUGUCCGUGUUAGGCUACAUCUCACAGCCCCAGAUGAAGGGAAAUACGUCCUUUCUCAUGGAAGCUUCCACUGAGAUACAAUAUCUCUUCUUCCAGGAAGUCCUGGCCAAGAUGGCAGCAAAUAAGAAAAAAAGACUAAAGUUUCAUGUACAUACACAGAGAUGAUUAAUAUGAACACAAACUAAAACACAUACAAAUACUCUCCAAAAAUACACAGAAUGAAGUUAAUUUAUAUGAAACAAUGACACUGUUCUUUAAGCCCAGAGUUUUGAGAUUUUUAAACACAUUCAGAGAAGGCAAGGAGUCUAAAUUUAAUAUAUUUUGUAAUAUGUUCCACUCAUGUGCUGCAUAAGAACAAAAGCCGGAUUUGCUCAGUUCUGUGAGUGUGGUGGGAGGCUGAAGGAGAAGUUUAACUGAUGAACGGGUUCUGUAUGUAUUAGUGCGGAAUGUCAGCAAACUGCAUGUGUACUGAGGUAAUUUGCCCAUUAAAGCCUUUGCAAUAAAA